UCUAUACUAUACUAUUAAAGCCGAAAGAUUAAAAAUUUGGUCGGUCGGUACUUGGGCCAAAAUACGGGCCUAUCUAUAUAACUAAUUAUUCUUUUUAAUUUGGACCAAAUUACGGGCCUAUCUAUAUAACCAAUUAAUAAUUCUUUUAAAAUCAUCGGUACUUGGGUCAAAAUACGGGCCUAUCUAUAUAACUAAUUAUUCCUUUUAAUUUGGGCCAAAUUACGGGCCUAUCUAUAUAACCAAUUAACAAUUCUUUUAAAAUCGAAACAAUAAAAAUUUGGUAGGUCAGUACUUGGGCCAAAAUACGGGCCUAUCUAUAUAACCAAUUAUUCUGGACCUAUCUAUAUAACCAAUUAUCUUUUUUAAUUUGGGCUAAAGUACGGGCCUAUCGAUAUAAAACCAAUUAAUCCUUUUAAUUGAAAUAUAUUACCUUUUUUAUAUUUUUGACUAAAAAACUUAAUCUUCUAAAAUAACAUUAAGAAACAUGGUAAUUACUUUUUUUAACUAAAAUAUAUUAUCUUUUCAUAAAUUUUCUAACUAAAAAAUUAAUCUUUUACAAUUAAUACGAACAUGGGCGACAUAUUUAUACGUAAAGAUGUGAGCCAAAAGUCUAAACGUCAAAUAAUAAAAAAUAGAGAGAGUAUUAUUAUAUUGUCGGGCGGUCGGUACUUGCACCGAAGUACGGGCCUAUCUAUAUAUAAAACCAAUUAUUCUUUUUAACUAAAAUAAAUUAUCUUUAUAUAUUUAUUAGCUAAAAGAACUCAAUCUUCUAAAAUAAUAUCGAGCAACAUAGUAAUUGUCUUUUUAAUCAAAACGGGUUAUCAUUUUUAGAUUUUCUAACUAAAAAAUCAAGUUUUUACAAUUAACACGGACGUCAUAUAUAUUAAAAAUAUAAUUAUUAAUAAAUAACAUGUGAUAUUAUUAAACCAAAAAUACAUUAAUAACAUUAUUUUUAAAUACUCUAAUGAUCUCACAUUAAAAAAAAUAUUACAAAUCUAUCAUAUACUAUAUAUUAUUACAAUAUUAAUAAAGCCGAAAUAAAAAGUUCACUUGGUCGGUCAGUUAGUAAAGUUGGUGAAUGGGUUGGUAUUCGACCCACGGAGCUCUUGAAUUUAUAACAUGUUAUACUAUAUUUUUUUUUAUCAUUUAUUAAACCAAAACAUUAAAUUCAAAUUAGUAUGAUGGGUCGGACGGUCGGUAUUUGGUUUCAUGCGUCUCUUUAAACUAUAAUAUGUUUUAUACCAUAUUAUGAAUUAUUAAUAACGAAAUAUUAAAAAGGUUGAUUGGUUAGUUUAUAUAUGAGUUUAUAGGCCUUCUUAAAUUAUAACAUGCAAAAAAAAAUAUUUUAACAUUCUCAUUAAAAUAUAUAUGUUCGACCUAAUAUUUAAUUAGCCAUUUGACGGACUUAACUAUGAAGAAUUUAUCCAACUGCUAAAUAAAAUAUUUAUUUAACCACAUUAUUCUAUCAUAAUUUUAUUUUUACAAUAAAAUUAGAUAAAUUUAAGAUAUAUAAAAUAAAAUAACAAAUAUGUUAACCGCCCGUGCAUUGCACGGGUUAUAAGCUAGUAUAAUUGUAAUUGUAAAUGAUGCAGAGAAAUCUGAAAUCUCUUUCUUAGUUCGCCCUUACUCGUCUAUCUACCUUUCAACAUGCAAAUGUAUCCUUAAUUUUAAGGUUAUAUGAUUUAGUUAAACAUGGAUCUUGCAAACAUGAAAUAAUAGAUGAUAGACCCAGUGCUGCCGAUCAAUGACAUUAUAAUUCAAAGGUACAUUCCAACGGUUACAUUUUAAUUUUAAGGGUAGCUGAUCACCUGUGAUCAUCACCUGUCAAGGUACCUUUCAAUAAUCUCGUUGAUCCGUCUUUACGUAACACGGGUGUUUUAAAAUUUGAUGAUUAAUCAUAAUUAAUCACCAAUUAAUUCAUGUUUCGUAAAUCGCUUAAUUGAUUAAAUUUUUGAUCACUCCUCGAUCAAUUUAACUAAUCUUCUAUUAAUCUUUAUUCCAUAACUUCAUUGAUUAAUUCUAAUUUUCGUUUUUUACAACACGGUCAAUAAGCAAUACUAUAUAAAUAAGAAUUUGAAUGAAAUUAAUAUAAUAAAAUAAUUUUUCUUUUACGUCUUUUCAUGUAUUAUACGCUGAGAGAGUAGGAUUUCCUUUUGCGCGCCAAAACCUUUCCUCAGGCUUUCCAAAUACGACUGUAGCAGUAGCUUGACUACUUUCCAGAUUUUGCUCUGCCUUACCAGGACUAUUACUAAAGUCAACGGUCAAAUACAAUUCUCCACAGUCCAGGACUGAACUUUCCCGGAACGGAGAGAGAAUAGAAAAACAAAUAAUCCAUGAUCGAAAUUAAUCUCAACUUGUAAAAUCAGAUGAUCAGAAGUUUUCGAUAGAUAGUACCAGAUAAUCUAUAAAUGAUACAAAGUCAUAGCUCAUUUAACCAUGACUAAAAUUAACCCCACAAUUUACUCAAAAAAAAAAUUAAUCCCACAAUUAGAUUAGCUUAUCUUCUAAGAUAUCAGCUAAACAAGAGAUACUACUUUUUGCAUCUAAUCCAUAUUUGCUGUACCUUUUUCUUUCAACAAUCCACAUAACCUAAUUUAAUCUACAUAUACAUUUAUGUCAUUUGCUUGAGAAAGAUUAUAAUCUAAAUAAACCAAUAAUUACUAUAAUAUAUAACAACUAGCAACAACUUGAAGUAUAACAAUAGUACAAUACUGUUUUGGCUACACACAAUAUAUCAAUCAUAUUACAAUACCAGAAUCCUGAAAAACAAAGAAUGACAAACUAAGCAAACCCACAGAUUUAAUUUAUUUAAAUAAUAUAAAAUUAAUUGUCGAUAUUUCAGCACGGUGGCAUGUCUGCUGGCCGGGGUAAGAUUCGGCUCUUCGGAUGAUUUCCAUUUCUCACUAUAAACACCAUGUUCAUUCCCCAUGACAGGUGACGCUCUAAAUGACAAUGCAUAAACCAUACUCCUGGAACACGAAUUACGAAUUCGAACAAGAUAAAUCAGUAAAUACGUCAAUAAAAUUCCGUAAAUUUGAAUACAAACUCGAACAAAAUAAAUCAGUAAAUGUGUCAAUAAUUAAAAUUUCGUAAAUUUGGCGGUGUGUGUUUCUGCAUAUCGUACCAGGAUUGUCCGCUUUGAACCUCACCGCAGCCCAUCCAUUCCUGGGGACAACAACCGUGUUCCGCAAAGGCGGAUCAACGAGAUUAUAGUUCAAAGGGUCCUUAUCCUUGUCAAAAUUUCCGAAACCAUAUCCCACAAUAUAGAAGCUGUACCCAUGUAAGUGCAUUGGAUGAUCAAUGGAGGAUCCUACCUGAUUUGUGCCUUGAAAAACCAGCUCCACAGUCGAAUUAUAGCGUAUUACAUUCACUUUAGUCCCUCUCUUUGCUGCAUUAAAAUUCAAAGGCACAUAAUCCGCUGUGUAAUUAAACAUCAGAGGCGAAAUGCUGGGAAAACCGUUCUUAUAAACUCCGGUUAUGUGAUAAUAGUAGGCCUCAAGUAUGUCAACAGACGGAUUCACAAAACUUAUGUUGUUGACACUCGCGGCCAAAUGUGUCCCAUUCGGCCCCUGACAACGUGUGUUAGGACAGGGCUGUGCAUUGAUCGAAACAGUGAAGAACAAUUUGGUGCUGAUUUUAUUUGGUACGGAAACAGGAUGUUCUUCGCUAGCCAAGGCCUUGAGUGCACCGAGGACACUAAAAGCCGCGUUCGUGUCAUUGUAAUACGGAAGCCUAGGCAGUUCACUUGGCGGAUUCUGAUUAUCAAUAUAUUGUAAAAUUGCGGUGGUAGUUGUGUUAUCAAAAGGAAUAACAGGACUCGAAGAGUAUGCUCUUGCAGCCAUAUAAUACUGAUCAGGCUUCUGGUCUGCGUGCAACAGAACAUCGAGGGUCUGGCCCGGGGCGAUGACCAUGUAUUCCCUUGUCAAUGGCUUGGAGUACGCAGCAUCUGUUGCCACGGCCGUUAGAUUGUGACCAUCAAUGGCGAAAAACAUGAUUUCGUUCAUCACCGCGUUUAUUAUACGAAGGAGAUACGUUCUUCCAUACUCCACAUUGAGUUUGAAUGUAUCUGCACAUGAAAAUUGUACUUAUUAGCGGAUGAUUGUGAUGUUUGUAACUAAAAAUGUCGGUGUUUUCACCUACCCUGCUUUGAGCAAUUAUACAGAUCACCAGGCUGACCAUUUAUAAGAAAAGCAUCAGAAGUGUUUGGACUUGCCCCUGACGCAAGAAACUCCUCAAGCACCUCUGUUACAUUUUUCUUCCACCAUUGUCCUAAUCACAGAAAAUAACAACAGCAAGAUAGUAACCUAUCGAAAUGAUGACAUAAAUUUGAAAAUUAUGUAAUUUUUGUAUGAUUAACUCUGUAACGUAAGAUUGCACGUCGUUUAUUACCUAAGAUGAUGGGGACAUCUUGAUGAGGGGCUGGGAAGGGGUAGCUAGAGCCAUGUCUGGGAUAAAUCUGAAUAGAGCCAUGCACAGUGGCUCUUGUCCAGUCAUUAUGAGCGUGCCACCAUAAGGUACCUUCUUCGUCUGUUAGUAUCACCCUCUGUGUGAAAGUAGCUCCUGGCUGGAUCGGACAUUGUGUGAUAUACACCGGUCCGUCGGACCAUGGAUUUCUCGGUUGCCUUACUCCAUGCCUGCAACAAACACGAAAUUCAUCACUACAAGAAAAACCGCUAAUUUUGACAGAAUACUGUUAAACUACAAGAAAAACGGCUAAUUUAACCGACGUUGAAAAGGGACUGCUUCUAAAAUAUGUAGUUACCAGUGAAUAGUAAUAUUGUGUUUUGCUUGAUUAUGAACAUUGAUGACAAGAGUAUCGCCUUUGCGAGCAUACAGAGUUGGCCCCGGAAAUUGACCAUUUACGGUGAGGAUCUUCUUUGUUUCGCACAGCCUUGUGUAGCUUGCUUCCUUCACCUACAAUACAUCAAAAAUUCAUUCUUUCAUUAACAUAAUUCUGCAUGCAUGCGAUGUCAACCUCAAUAUAUGUAGAACCUCAAAGCUAGAAAUCAUAAAUCUCACCACAAAGUCAUAGUGACCGUGGUCUCCCCAAGCAUGACACUGGACGAAUAUAAACAGAGCUGCUAGAGGAAAAAAAAUGCUAGGCAUGUUAUGAUUAAGCAUUUUUGAAUUUUAAAUAGAACCAAAAAGAUUAGCAGAUUCUUUUCUGGUAAACUUGGUUUAGUUGCAGAGAUGGUUGGAGGACUUCAAAUUUAUAGUGAAAAUUGAUAAAAGUGGGAAGGAGAUUUAUUUGAGUGGGCUACUGUGACAACAACUAUCACUAACAAAUUUGCGUGAUUCUUAUAAAUAGUCCAAUUCAGUAAGAUAUGAAAAGACUAUUUAAGAGUCAUGCUUGAAAAAUACACAUGUUUUUUUUGUUAAAUAUAUAAAUAAAUGGAUUGAAUAUCAAUCUAGCUAGUGCAAUUUGACCCUUCCAAAAUUCAAUACUUAAUAUUCAGUUAAUUAAUACUUAAUAAAUGGUUGGAAUCCAGUUAGGUUUCUAUGCAUUCAGUUGUAUUUAAAAUUCAAUACUUAAUUUUUUAAUAAAUAUUUCAGUGAAAAAAUUGUGACGAUAUAUCUAAAUAUGCAUAAUACUAUAAAAAUGAAUCCAAAAAUUUAACUAAUAAAAUAAAUUUCUCAAAUAAGAGAGUACCAUUACCAUGUUUUCUUGCAGAUAUGAAGUUAAUUAAAAUAAAAUUAAAUACAUUAAAACGCGAAUUUUGAUUUUACACUUCUUAACUGUAAUUAGGUAGAAGAUACUUUAUUUAGUUUAUUUCGUGUUCAGCGGUAAGCUCCUUAUAAGUAUCAAUUAAUGUCCUUCCAAUUUCAUCAUUAUUUUUAUGCCUUAUUUAAUGGAGCAACAAACAGUGAACGCACAAAACUCGUAAAACUUUCUCGAAAUAAAGGGUCGACGCUACUAGAAAUUGCUGCAAUAUAUAUUUGUACUUUUUGAUUAGUCGAGUAAUAAUUAUGUUCCUAAUUAUGAUUAUCCUUACUCCCAAUCUGGUAUCUUUCCAUCUUGACAGCCCAUGCUUACUUAUGAAGCACGUUAACUAAUACUCCCUCCGUCCCGGUCAAUAGUAUACAUUGGGGGACGGGAGCGCGGCACGGACUUUAAUGCUUCAAUAUAGUAUAGUUCUGUAAAUUAUUUUUAAGAUUUUCUUUUUUUGUAUAAAAGUAUAACAUUUAUAUUUUUAUACAAAAAAAGAAAAUCUUAAAAAUAAGUUGUGGAACUAUGUUUUAUAAGAGCCUUAAAAAGCGUAUCGAGCAGUGAAAAAGAAACGUAUACAAUUGACCGGGACAGAGGGAGUAGCAACUUCUUACAUAUGUGGACUCCAGGAUGCAGGAGAUGUUUAGUUGCAUUAAGGAGUGACAAGGACUCAUUAAUAUUAACGAGUGCACGUUACAUGCAAUUAGUAAGACAAAAUCGAAACAUAUGUAAUUAUAUUUCAGGAAAAAAGAACAAAUAUAUGCAAUUACGACGUCAUGAUCAGGAAUUAUACUAUUGAUUGUUCCAGGAGUUUUGCAACUGCGAGAACUUACAAAAUAUAUGGGUGAAACGGUAAAAGCUUUGUAGUGAUAUUUUGUAUAAUUUAAUGUCGGAUUUAUGUAUUGCCAGACGAAGUUGUCAUAUAGUAGCGUAGCUAAGACCAUCUCCAAUCAUAAUCUAUACUAUACUAUAAAAAGCCAACAUGGGUAUAAUUUGUAGUCGUACAAAAUUUUGGUUUGGUACUCUCUUGUGAAACUCAAAGUCUAUACCAUGUAGAUGUCUACUACUCUUGCAUUAUUAAAUAGUUUCAUAUAUUAAAAACACUCCUCAUGUAUAUUAAUAUCUUUUUUAAUAUUAUUUAUAAUAAACAUUAAUUGAAUAAAUAAAUUGUCACAUAUUAAUAUCAGAAUAAUAUUUAUAGAUAGAUAAUAAAUUGUAAAAGCUAAAUUUCCACUAAAAAAUAUAAUCAGUUGGUUAAUAUAAUUUAAUCAAAAUCCAAUUCAUUAAUACUAAAAUACUAAUAAGAUGGUGUUAAGAUUUAAAUUAUAAUUAAUAAAUUACGAAUUAUAUAUCCGCCCGUGCUUUGCACGGGUUGAAGGCUAGUUUUAUAAAUAAAGCAACUUCAUCUUCAUUUUCACCUUUUUCACUUUAUAUCUUUAUUCCAUCUCCAACCAUUACUUCAUUUUAUAAAUAAAGCAAUUUGUGCUUUAUCUUCAAGUUCAACUUCAUAUAUAGAGUAGGAUAGUGCAUGACUUUAUAUAUAAAGAUAAAGUAAUGGAUGAUUGGAGAUGGAUUACUCUAUUUAUAAAAUUAAAAGUGAAGAAAUAUAAAGUUUAGAGUGAUGGUUGGAGAUGCCCUAAUUUCAGAUCAUAGAUAUUAACCAGGAUUGUACUCCCUCCUUCCCAUAUUAAUAGUCCACUUUGUCAAGAAAAAAUUUCCCAUAUUAUUUGUCCAUUUUCUUUGUCCAAUACAAAUUAUAACAAGUUUCAAUGUUAACAUUUACUAGUUCACACAAUUUUCAUUAUUUACAAUGCAAACUAUGUUGACUUUUAACCAAAAUGAAUGAAAACUUGGUAGUAUAUUUGUAUAACCAAUGCAUGGCAAUGAUAAUAAUAUAUCACAUUUAAUACUUCUUAAUUUGUGUGAUUUGUGCAAAGUGGACAAUUAAAAUGGGAAGGUGGGAGUAGUACUUGAUGGUUUCACAUCAUCUUUUACGAUAUCUUGCUCAAAGCCUCAAACUAAUGAGAACAUAGGAGUAUAGGUUACAACCAUCUUGACGACCAAAAUUCUCCAUUAAUAUCCUUAUUAGCGCCCUGAUAAGACUUGUUGGACAUUACACCGUACAAAGCCCAUAUCACAUAGGAUGUUUCAUGGACUUAUUAUUUUAGAUCACUUAAUUCGUCUAACAAAUAAAAUAAAUAUAAUUAGUAGACUUGGAUAUAUAUAUUAUAAUAAAGGAUAUCCACUACAGUAUUUGUUUUAUUAAAAUAAAUAUAUUGUAGAUGCCAUCCUUGAUAAAAUGGUUUUUUCAAUUUUUAAAACAAUAAUUUAAUAAUUAGAAGUCAUAUUAUAUCUGCAUAUAUAAUUUAAUAAACACAUAAUUAUAUUGUUGUUGCAUCUUUCUUUUUCGCUAUCAAGUGAUUUUUUGAAGAGAUCCAUACACAUGUAAUACUGUACAAUUUAAAGUAAUUGAUCAUAAAUUUAUCAUCACGAAAACUCUUAUCACUAAAUCAACAUCACCAAAAUACUACAUAUCUAUAAUCCUGGACAUGAUCAAUAACAAAAAAAUCAAACUCUCACAAGGACGAAACGGAACCCAAAUAAAUUAAGAAUUCAUUGAUGAAAAAACAAGAGCUAGAUUAAGACUAAUAAAAAGAAGAAAUAUUGGGACAUUUCACCGCUGAAAGCCGAUAGAAGCCUCUUAGAUAACAAGACAGCCACCGGAGAAAUUUUUUUGAAAAAAAAACAGUUUUUUAAAUGCAGAUGGGGUUUGGUGUUAAAAAAGAACCAAUCAUAAAUUGUAUUAUUGAUAUUUGCAGUAAUUGGCAGUUUUUUAGAGUUGACGAUGAGCUGUUCAUCUGUUCCGACCAAGCAUAUUUUUGGACAUUAAUUUUCUUACUAAGAUAUGAAUGAAUGAGAUUGAAUUUAUGUCUAGGAUGGUUUGAUUUUUGAUACUGAACUUGGUUAUUUUGCAUCAAUAGUUGGUCCUUUAGUUAAUUUAUCUUGGAUUUAUAAAGGAUCAUAAUUGUUAAGGAUUGAUGCCCUAAGAUGGAUUUAAUCAUGUGUUUGCUAAUCAUAGAGAAUUUGUCGAUUCAACAAUAAUUUGAUACUAUUGUCUAAAUUCUAAAAGGUAUAGAAGUCAAAAGAAGCGAGUGGAGUGAAAAUAUAGAAGUGAGUGACGAGCAAGUCUGAUACUUUUACACAGUUUGAGAUAUAAGGGGUUAAAUGAGUUGCCAUCGAAGAAGAAAUUGACAAGCUAACAAAGAUUUAUGUCUAGAAGUAAUUUAUCAACUAACUUAAUUUGAAGAUGCAAUUGUUUAUAUUAGAUGAUUAAAUCAUAUAGUAUGUCAUUUGACGAAAUUGACGAGGUGCUGGGAAUAGGAACAAGUUUUGUUAUUGUUGUUGAUGAGAUUCAUCAUGGUUAAUAACACUAUUUGUUUGACAAGUUCUGUUAUUGUUGGUGAUGAGUUCAUCAUGGUUAAUAAGAUUAUUUGUUUGAUACGAAAAACAAUUUCUUACAAUGUUGAGAAUCAUUCCAUCUAAUUUUAUAUUAUACUUUAAUAUUUUCUCACACUCGACUCGAGUGUCAAUGUUCUACCGUGAGAAGCUGAAAUAUGAUAUUAUGUUAAGAACUAAUUUACAAAGAAUUUAAUGUUUUAGAGAAAUGUUAAGAAAAAGGAUUGUUUCAAAUGAAUUUGUGCUAUAUAUUAACACUGUGUGACCGUGAGAUGAUUCGGAUUCUACGUGGUAUGCUCUAUUCUUAAGACAGACACGUUACGAGGAGACAUGGCUGAAGAACUGAUUAGAGUUUAGUACUUGUAUUAGCUUUCUAACACAAAGUAUUCAUUUUCUAACAUGACAACUUAGAGGGGUGUAUUGGAUUGAGAUUUUAAAGCAUUUUUUUGCAUUCAUGAAAUCCGAGGGUAUUCGAUUGGGAUUGUUUGAAAUCCAUUAAAAUCUUGAGGUAUUCAAUUGGGAUUUUAAAUUAUGCUACAAAAUCUGGUGGUAUUCAAUUGGGAUUUUAAAUUAUGCUUUAAAAUCCGAUGGUAUUCAAUUGGGAUUGUUUAAAAUGCAUUAUAAUCUGAUGGUAUUCAAAUGCUGAUGGAUUUUUUUUCAUUUCAUAAAAUGAUGGAUUUUGUGGCAUUUUUCAGUGUAUUUUAAAUUUUUUGAAAUCCCACCAAAAUCAAUGGGAUUUUGAAGCAUUGUACUUAAUUCCUAUCAACUCUGCGACAUUUUAUCAAGAAUCCGCACAAAAUCAAAAUCUCAUACAAUCCAUUAAAAUCCAUAGACUAAAAACAAUCCAUUAAAAUCCCAAUCGAAUACACCCCCGUUAGAUUAAAAAGUUUUAAUAAACUCAGCAAAUGACAAUCAUAUUGGAAGGCUACUACUGAAUUAGAGUGCAUUCUAAUUCAGAACUUCAAUGAACUUCUUUUUUUUUUUUUUUUUCUAAAGAAACUUCAAUGAACUUCAAGACGUCUUAGAUGAUUGAACUUGUGAGGACUUUUCAUGUAGUCUAGUAAAUACAAAGAAAUUUAGUUAUCUCUUUUAUGGUGUCAAUACCUUAUACAUAAAGUUUAGAGAUUAUAUGGGUGUUUAGGUCUUUAGGAAAGUGGAAUCUCGAUUUUUUUGAAGUAGAAGUAGCUUCCAACUUCGGUGAACGGUUUUGUGUACGUAAGUUUACGGACUUUUUGUAAGACUUUUUACUCCGAAGCUAGAAGCUGGAUUGUAAAGCUAUUUUCUAGUUCAACCAGCUUAUCUCAUUUCUUUUAAAUUGUAAAUACUAUUUAGUCAAUACUUUAUAUUCUUGUCGGUGCCUAUAGCACGAAUCUUGUACACAUUCUUAAUCUUAGCCUCCACAUUCUGGUCAAUUUUCAAAUGAACAACAUAAUUAUCUAUGUUGCACCAAAUGUGUGAAUUAUAUUUUUGUCAUACUGAUUUUUAUGCAUAUUUUAAGAUAUAAUACUUAUUGCUUUCAAAAAAAGAAGAUAUAAUACUUAUACAUGUAUUUCUUUUAAAAAAGUCUUUUCAAUAUAAAAAUUGAAGGUUUCUUAAUAAUUAAAUAUAAUUAAUCACCCAUCUUUUUCUCCUGCAAAACUAAAAUCUGUUGAAAUUUGAAUUUUAACUUUUGUUUAAAAAAUAAAAUUUUUAAGAGAAUGUAAUAUAAGUGUGUUUUAUACAUAAGAUUUAAAGUCAAGAGGAAACUGUCCACAUCAUAUGUCUACAAGACAAAUAAAUUUAAGGAGUACGAUUUCUCUUUUCUUAUGUUUUGUUUUUUUUCAGUUGUCAAGCAUACGUAAUUUUUAGGAGCUCACGGUGUUCUAAAAAUCCCCGAUUUAACCGAUUAAUCCCCUGCAAGAUCGGCCACCGAUUCGAUUUUCGAAAUCCGAUUAAUCCUUAUAUAUAUUUUUUAAUCGAAUUAUAUAUGAUAAAUUAAUAAAUCUAAAAUACUAUAUUACUUUAAAUAUGUAUAAUUAUAGAGUUUAUGAAUAUAGUAAAUAUAUUAGUUACUAAAUAGCUAAUAUAAUAAUAACUAAAUAUUAAAUAAUAUUUUAAUAUUAAAAUAAAUCCGAUUUUCACUCUGAUUAAUCCUUCCGAUUAAUCCCCGAUUUCCGAUUAAUCCCUGAAUCGGUAGUUCAACCAAUUAGGUCCGAUUCCCGAUUUCUGUAACACUGGCAUCACUUAUCAAUAUUAAAUCGAUUUAAUUCAAACAAACAAAAAAAAUUAUGAAACUGACAAAACAAACGUUUUAAAGGUCAAGCAGGACGCCUGACAGUUUAUGGUUUACCCGUUGUAUUUGCACUCUGGUCUUGUCAAAUAUGAUUGAUGCUCCAGCCUCCAAGGACCACAGCAAAAAGUUUGAAGGAUAUGAUAAAUGAUGAUCACGAGCCCUUGGUUUCUAAUUGGGAUUUCUAUUGCUUGUAUUACUUGUGCAAGUGUUCCGUACUUCUAUGAGUUCUAUCUCCGGUAAGUCCAUUAGAUUAAUUAUCUCAUUACUUAGUAAUAAUUUAAUAAUAUUAAAUAAUGAAUUCAAGUGAGUUUUAGUGAUUCAGAUAAUGUAUUUUUAGUGUCAAUUCAAUACCAAUCCCUAUAUUUGUCUCCCUAUUAUUAUAUUAAUAAUAUAUUUGAGAGAGAGAAGGGGGAAAGGAGGGAAAACAUGAAGGAAGGAGGGAGAAGAUUGUUUUAUUCACAAAUAAUAAAUAGGUAAUGGCUAGUGGGUACCUAAAAAUAGGUAAUGUCCAGGAGAUUUGAGAAUGUGUUAGUGAUUUAGAUAAUUAUCGGGAUAGUGUCGGAGUAGAUUUUUUUGAAACAUUACCCAAAUAUAAGUUUAGGAGCUCGUUUAGGACCUCAUUUAGGUAACUUAUUGCACUUGCUCUAAUUUGAUAUAAGACCAUCUGUCCAUCUCUAACCGGCUUGGUUAAUGGUUGGAUUGGACAGUUAGGAUAUUGUUUAAAAUCUCUUCACAUGAUAAAAUAUUGAGUUUAAUUGAUGGCAUUGGUCAUAUUAAUUGAUUAUAUUUUAAAAUAUUAUGUUAUUAAUAUUGUUUAUUAUUAUAAAUAAAAUAUAUUAAUUCAAUAUGAUAAUAAAUAAUAUAUAAUCUUUUUACAGAUUUCUUAUAAGCAUGUAAAUGUUCAAUAAAUAUAACUAACAUGAGCCGGUUGACUAUGUCCAUAAAUAAGAGAAAUGUAAUAUUGAAAUUGAAUUUUUUUUACGUAAUCCCUGCAUUUUUAUUUAUAAAAAGCAUCACAUGAUGCAUUUUUGAGCAACUUCAACGGCGUUGGGUAUAAUCGUUGGCUAAAUUGAACCUGUAAGACAUUAUGUAAAAUUUGCUAAAGCUGUAAGACAUUGUACUUUAAUGGUAUUGGCUAUAUUAGUUGGCUAUAAUUUAAAAAUAGAAUGUUAUUAAAAUUUUAGUUUGUUAAAAUAGAAUAUACCAGUUUAAUCUAUGUAUAUUAUAAAUCCUGAACAGUGACACGUUAUCAAUGCCACAUAUUUUAAAAAAAAGUCCACCUCAAUGCCACAUAUUUUAGAUUUUGCCAUGUCAUUAUAAUAUCCUUUAUUUAUUUAAGCAUGUCAGAAUAAUCAAUCACAUAACUUUUUUUACUUAGCAUAUGAGAAGAAUCAAUCACAUAUCUUUGAAUUCCUAAAAUAGUGCAUAAUUAAUACCUGCAAUUAUAUUUGACAACCGUGUUAUCUUUUAAUAUUUAAUGUCACGUGCCAUAAUUUCCUCUUCAAAUUAUUAGUCUUUUAAUAUUUAAGCCUGAUUAGUAAUAAUGUUAAAAUUAUUUUUUUUUAACGAAGAGAAACCCAAAAUAUAAGUAAAGUUGUGUGUUUUUAAUGAAGAAUAAUGAGACUUUUUCUAUUCGUCUAACCUAACAUGAUAAUUUAAAUACCCUUUAAAUUUACGAGAAUAAUUUAACCUUAAAAUUAUGUUUUUUUAAUGAAGAGAAGGUCAAAAUAUAAAUAAAGUUGUGUGUUUUUAGUGAAGAAUAAUGAGAUUUUUUUUUAUUCGUCUAACCUAAUAUAAAAUUUUAAAUAUCUUUUAAAAUUACGUGAAUAAUUUCCCUUAUUUAUUUCAGCAUAUCAGAAAAAUCAAAUACAUAUAUUUGAAUGCACAAAAUAGUGCAUAAUUAAUACCUGCAAUUAUAUUUGACAACCGUGUUAUUAUCUUUUAAUAUUUAAUGUUACGCGCAAAUUUAUUUAAGCAUAUCGGAAGAAUCAAUUGCAUAUCUUUGAAUUCCUAAAAUAGUGCAUAAUUAAUACCUGCAAUUAUAUUUGACAACCGUGUUAUUAUCUUUUAAUAUUUAAUGUUACGUGCAAUAAUUUCCUCUUCAAAUUAUUAGUAAGGAAAUAUGAAGCCGGAUUAGUAUAACCUUAAACUUAUGUUUUUUUUAAUAAAGAUAAGAACAAAAUAUAAUUAAAGUUGUGUGUUUUUAAUGAAGAAUAAUUUUAUUCGUCUAAUCUAAUAUAAAAUUUUAAAUACCUUUUAAAAUUACGUGAAUAAUUUCCCUUAUUUUCUUAAGCAUAUCAGAAGAAUCAACCACAUAUCUUUAAAUUCCUAAAAUAGUGCAUAAUUAAUACCUGCAAUUAUAUUUGACAACCAUGUCAUCUUUAAAUUUAAUGUUAUGUGCAAUAAAUUCCUUUUUAAAAUUACGUGAAUAAUUUCCUUUAUUAGUAUAGAAAUAUAUAAGCCUGAUUAGUAAUAACCUUAAAAUUAUGUCUUUUUAAUGAAGAGAAGCCCAAAAUAUUUAAGCAGAGGUAUUUUUUUUUUAUGAUAAGAUUUCUGAUUGAGACAAGCAUUUUUUAGAUUGAUAUGCUCACGUAAUAUAUGGGUAACAUAAUUGCAAAGUUAUUUGGAUUGAUAUCAAUCUUCUACCAUAAAAUAUGCAUUAUUCUUAUAAUUAGCAACGAUUUAAGCAUGUCUUAUGACUCAUUAUAUAAUGUCUAAGAUAAUUUCCUUUAAUAAGCUCAUGCUACUUAUGCUAUAAUAAGGACUUCUCGAGUAUAAACUCGACCUAUCUCUUUCUUGGAGUGAAAGUAUUUAACAUCGUUUGUAUUUGCACAGUUGUAGCCAUGUUCAGCUUGCUAUCAACCUUGAACACUAGCAGAACUGAUUGGAGGAUCCAGGUCCAAUUAUCAAGAAUUUGGCCUAGGACAUCAAUUGACGGGAAUGUUGCUGGUUAUAACCUAAUCAUGAUCGACAAUCAGGUUAGACACUCGAACAUGUACAUGAUAUAACUUUUGUUUCAGGCUUAACACACGAUGUAUAAUAUAUUACCACAAAUAUUUGUCUUCCUUACUAGAGAGUACAGAUGUUCAUGCAUAUGUCAAGGCUGAGAUAUUGAACCUGUUCGAUAAUUACAUUACAGUAGGAAACAUAUAUGAAUUUUCAACGUUUUACGUGAGGAUGGCAUCUGGGAGAUUCAGACCAACUCGAUCAGUCGGGCCGUGGUCUUCUGUAUGCAGACCACUGUCAGCCUGUCUAGCGACUCUUAGUGUGAUAUACCAAGGUACAAAUUUGAUUUUUUGCAGAUGGAGUAGAUAAUCCAUCGUGCUGAGGAAGACAAUAGUGAUCAGACAUUUCCCAUGGGUGAGACUAUUGUAGAUUUAAGUUUUGGCAAUUUAAAGAAUCCUUUCUAACAUGUGAUCAAAUUUUAUGCAGAUGUUAUAGGAGUUGUUGAGAACAUUCAACCUCUGCAUAUUAUCAACACACCACGUGAGAAUGUUCGUUUGAUUGGAAUGAGUCUGGGCGAUGGAUUGUAUGUAUCCGCUUAUUACCCAUAUUAAUGUUAUAAUUCCUCUACAGUUGUAUUAAUAAUUGAUUUAACGACUAAAACAAGUUGUUAUACCCGUGUACAAGUCAAUCAUUACGUGUGCAUCUAUGGGGAGAUUUGACGAAUGAUGUGAAUCCUAUAUACCAAGAUUUGUUGGAACGACCGGUCAUAUUAAUCAUGUCAAGUGUUAUCGUGCGGAAUCACACAAGUUAGAGUGACAUAAUUCUCCGUUUGUUAAAAAUACUUUUAUUGUUCAAUCCUUCCGUUUGCAAAUCUGCUAUGAAAACGUCCACGUGUUUGUAGAAAUGGUUGUAAUCACGAAUAUAGCAUGAGACAUAGAUAUUUUUUUUAAUUUUCUCAUCAUUCACACGGAAUCAUAUAAUUGUAUAUUUCACUUCAAAACAAUACGAGUAUAAUUUAUAAAUGUUUUAUGUCGUUCUAGGCUUAAUCAUGAUAAAUAUGUAUCACUGCUAGAUCUCUGAUUAUAACAUCUCCAAGACAGCUGAAUAAUCGUACUACAAUAUUUAGAUUUUUAUGAAACAAUAAUGUAAUAAAGUAUUUGAAAUUAUGCUCAAAUCCUUUAUAGACUACGAGCUUUUCAUCCAGACUGUUGAUUUUAGAUGGCAUUUUAUUUAAUUUAAUUUAAAUUUUAAUUUGGGAUUAUUUGAUGGUUUGAUUUUCUGUUAUAAUCAUAAAAUUAUUUCACAAUGCCAAGAAAAAACAACUACAAUAUUAAGACACCCGUGCGCGGAGCGCGGGCAAAAAAACUAGUAUGAUAAUAAAUGAUGUGUAAUUAUCCUACAGAUUUCUUACAGACUUGUAGAGGUUCGACAAAUAUAGUCAUCCAUAAGAGAUUGGCUAAAAUUAUAGACAACAGGUUCACGUGAUUGAAAUAUGAUUUUUUCAACAGGUUGGUUAAAUUUUUUAUAUUUGGAAUGACAACUCAUUUUUUAGCUAAGGGGUUUGUAUGGUUGGAGAUACUCUAAAGUAUUAUCAAUUCUAAGCAAUUUAACAUGCUUGCGAAAAUGUGUAAAAGCAUAAGAAUGGAACUUAUAAAUGACUAUUAUGUCGGAAGGCUACUACUGAAUUAGAGUGCAUUCUAAUUCAGAACUUCAAUGAACUUCAUUCAGAACUUCAAUGAACUUCAAGACGUCUCAGAUGAUUGAACUUGUGAGGACUUCUCAUGUACUCUUGUGUAGGAGAGAGCAUGGGCCGGUUCGGCUCGGUUUCCGGGUGAAACCGGAACCGCAACCAUAUUUUCUCGGUUUUUAAAAUUGAAAACCGCAACCGCCGGUUCGGGUUCGAUUUCAGUUGCGGUUUAAAAAACCCCGGUUCGGUUAUAAUCGGCUCGGUUUCGGUUACAAAACCAAAUAUAAAAUUGAAAAAUAAUAUACAAACAAUACAGAUAGAUGUGCCAUAACAAUUAAUACAAUUACUGAUGUCACUUGCAAAUCAUUUAACUUACUGAAUUUCUGUGCAUUUUUGUGCACUACAGAUGCUUUUAAGUACUCUCUGGUUGAUUUACAAAAUCCUAGUAUUUCGUGUAUAAUUCAGACAGAAUCUCUAUGUAGUAUCCACAUGCACUCACUCUAUGUUAACACCAGAUAGCCUCGUAAAGAUAAUGAGAAUUAAGCUCCUGUAUCUUUGCUCCAGGAAUUGAUUUUAGUUUUCCCAAGAUUCUAAGCAAGCUCAGCUUGCUGGUGAGGGAAUUCUAUAUCAACAAAUGAUGCAAACUAUUUCAACUAAAAGAAGUGUACAUGAAUAGAGAAGCAAAUAUCUUGAAGAUUAACUUAUAUAUUUAUUAUAUAUAUAAUAUUUAUUAUUUAAUUAUUAUUUUAAUAACUGGGUCGGUUCGGUUUUUAUCUGUUCGGUUGAGAGGUAUAACCGGAACCCAACCAUUUAAAUCGGUUCGGUUUUUGAUUUUUCGGUUUCGGUUUCGGAUCGGUUAUAUUCGGAUCGGUUCUUUCCGGUUUUUCUCGGUUUCGGUUCGGUUCCGGUUUCAAAUCGGUUUUUUGCUCACCCCUACUCUUGUGCAUGGAUCUUAAAAUAUUUUCUUUAGGGGUAUAAAGUAAAUUUUCGAUAAACAUCUUUAUAUUUUCAGAUUUUCAGGAGGUACUUAUAUAAUCAUCAAUAUACUUAUAUAAAGGAGAAGCGAAGGGCGUGUAUGUGACGCCUCUCAUAUCGUUUUGUUCUAUUUUUCUAAUUUUCUAGAAUUUUUGGAUGAAAAAUAUUAAAAAUUAGAACUACCUUUUUUUUGUUUUGGGUAUAUUAGAAGCAAGUUUCAGAAUCUGAUUUUGUUUCAGAUUAUUUAUGGAAUAUAGUAGCUUGAAAAUUUUAAUUUGAUUUUGGAUUAUUUAAUUAUGGGAAAGAGUAGCACACAAGCCUUUCUCUACCUAUAAAUACCCCUAUAGGAUUUUGGAUCAUCUAAACACAACCUCUUCUCCCUCAAUAUCACAGCCCUGCCUCUAUCUGGUGAUAGUUCUCUUGCUCGAUGGUGCCGUUAUUCUGCAACAAUAAGUGAAGGCUGUUUAUACAGGUUGUUGCAAGCAAAGGUAGUUAUAGACUGCUAUGUGGGAGUCAACAAAUCCAAACACGGGAAAAGAAUAUAGUAUUGACAUGAUAUUUAUGGACGAUAUUAACAAAUUAACUAUUAGGGAUGUAUGUUUGUUGGUUAAUUUUUUAUAAUAUUUGUUUUGUUUAUCAGACAUGUUUGUUGUUGUUAAUUUUUAUAUGAUUUACUCUGUAUACAAGAAAAAAUUAUUCAUGCAUCAUCUGUAUGCUCCGUUCAAACAACUUUUAAGUGAAGGCUGUUUAUACAGUAUUAAAAUACAAAUGUUGUUUCAAGCAAGGGUAGUUAUAGACCGCUAUCUCAUGGAUUUAAGUUAGAUGUUUUUGUUCACAAUCAAUCCAAAAAAAUUGGAGGCAGGUGAUAAUGUAAGAACAUGAUUACUUUAAAAAAAACACAAAUAAAAUUAAGAUUCGUCGUACUUUAAAUUGUUAAUUACGUGUAUAAAUUUAUUUUCAUUUUUUCACCAUGAAUUAUAGUCCAAUUUUGCAAUUUUAUAUAUUAUUACAGGUAUUACAUCAAGAUUUUUAUAAUAUAAAAUUUAUUUUAUCCUACAAAUAUUAAUUUUGAAUCAUUAAUAUACUUUUUAUAGACAAUCACAAAAUUAUUUUAUUCUACAAAUAUUAAUACUAAAUCAUUAAUAUAAUAUUUAUAGGCCGCCGCAACGCGCGGCUUCUCAACUAGUUUUGUAAAAUUUAGAAUGAUGAAAAAAAGUCAAUUUUUUUUAAGGAGGCAUGUGUCUCAUAUACCUCUUACUAGAUCCGCCUUUAAAUACAUACCAAGAAAUUUAAUCAUUUAUUUAUUAUGAUGUCAAUACCUUACACAUACAGUUUAGGUCAGCCCUGAGUGUAUACGGAGAAAUUUAGUUAUCUAUUUUAUUACUCCCUCCGUUUUUUUAUUCUUUUCCUAUUUGGGAUGUCGGUACUGUUCAUAACAUGAGACAAAUUACUAAUUUACAUCUAAUCUAUAAAACUAAAUAUAGUCAUGAGUGAUCUUGUUAGAUUCGUAUUCACGAGUACUUUAAUACAGUGAAAUUUUUAUAUUUAAUGCUACUACGAAAUGAAAGAUAUUAACGAUUAAAAGUGCGUGUUGGCAAACGUGAAAAGUACAAACAGGAAAAAUAUUUAGAGACGGAGGGAGUAUUUAUUAUGAUAUAAAUACCUUACACAUACAGUACAGAGAUGUGUGUUUGGGAAAGUGGAAGCUUCGAUUAUUUUGAAGUAGAAGUAGCUUCCUACUUCGGUGAACGGUUUGUAUACGUAAAUUUGCAGACUUUGUACUCUGAAGUUAAGCUGGAUAAUAAAGCUUUUUUUUUUUUUUUGUUCAACCAGCUUCUUAUUUCUUUUCAACUGUAAAUACUAUAAUCAAUUAUGUGUCAAUGAAAAUAGUACGAGUGAUAAGUUUAUCUUCUGUUAUUCCAGGACAUCCGGGUUUGACUCUGGCUCACCUCGAGAAUUAUUAAAAUCAUAAAACAUGCCUGCAUUGUAUGAAAAAAAAUGAUCGUAAAAGAUACUCCCUCCGUCUCAAUUUAUAGGUCCAGUUUGGAAAAAAAAUUUGUCCCAAAAUACUUGUCCUUCUCUUCUUUCAAUACAAAUUUAUCUACAUAUUAAUUGUGAUUUUUUUGAAACUCAAUAUUAUUCUCAUUUCUCAAUGCACUAAAUCCCUAUAUUUACUGUGAUUUUUUUGAAACUCAACAAUAUUCUUAUUUAUCAAUGCACUAAUUAAUGACACAUGAGAUAAGAUUCCAUCUAACCAACUUUUUUCUUAAUAUGUGUGUUUAUUCCAAAAUGGACCUAUAAAUUGAGACAGAGGGAGUAAGUUAAAAGGGAGGUGUUGACUACACAUCUUUACUACAUACAAGGCCUCGUGUCCAGUUUGGGCUUUUUUAGUCAGACUAAUACAAGAGUGUUAAAAGUUUUCAAUUGGGCUCGAUUGUCACAUUUCCAUUAUAUUUUGUGAAAUCCCCGACUUCUCCCUUCGAAAUUUGUAACACACUCUACUUGACAAAAAAAAAAAUGUAACACUCAUCUACAGCUCAUACUGAUAACAAUUUUAUUUUUGUACAUAGUUUAACUAUAGAAUAUCUAAUAAAUAUAAUAAUUAUAAUUAUUUCUAAUUUGUGUAGCCAUAUAUUAUUAUUAGAUUAUUAAAUAUAAUCUAACAAAUCGUUGAUAAAAAAUGUAACAUUAGAAAGUAAAUUUGAAUAAUUAACAAAGUAAGUAGUAAUUUUUACAGAAUAAUUUCGGAAGAAGAUUGGUCAUGACUUAAUUCCUCAUUGUUUGCGUAAGUCUGAAUUGCAGUCUAUUUCACGAAGUAAAUUACUUAUAUGAACGAGUAUAUAUAUAAAUAUUUUGACGAGUUUGAAAGUGGGACAUGGAGUUCACAACUUCAUAGUGUAUAUUCUUAAACAGUUCGUUUGAGAAUUGAAAUUGGAGUGUAGAGAUCACAUGUUUGCAUGUGGGGCGUAUAAUGAUUAUAUUCUUAACCCACAUGAAUCCCAAGACAGUGUCACAAAUCCUUAAAUUAUGUUGUGUGUAAAUGUGUAUACUGUACUAUUACUAUCAUAAUAAUAUUGCACAUACCAUGUGGAAUAUAGGAGCAGCAUAUAAAAGGCUUGACCAGUUGACCCGUCCAAGGCCAGCAUAUUGCACAUAAUCUUUUCUUCUUAUAAACGUUCUUUAAAGUUUCGCUUGGAUGGAUCCCCAUUGUGAUUUUAUCUGCUAGGACUUAUAUACUAUGGGGCCGUUUGGGUGAGCUUAAAAUAAGUGCUUAUUGCUUAAAAUAAAUAAGUGGAGUAGAAGUUAGAAGCAAGAUAAGACUUAUAAGUGAUUAAAGUGUUUGGGAAAUAAGUAGAAGCCCUGAAACAAAAGCUAGCAUUCCUAGCUUUUUAUAAGUGCUUCUUGACUUAUUACACAAACGGUACGAAUAAGUGCUCAUAACUUAUAAUCCAGAAGCUGGACUUAUAAGUGCUAGCCAAACACCCACUAUGUGUGUGCAAUAAUUAAUUGAGUUUCGAAAACUCUUGAUCUUCGCUAAUAUUUUAUCAGCAAUAUAUUGUACUAAGAUUUUGGCAAUCGAUACGAAAUUAUCAAUAUGACAAACUAUUGAUCGUCACAUUAUAAUAUUCGGCCAUAUAAAUUUUGAAAAUGAAAACAUCAUUCUAAUUACAAGGUCCGGGGCAUAAUUUUGUUAGUCGUUGAAAUUUUGUUUUGAUUGAUUUGGGAGGUUUGGAUAGGAAUUGUAAUGAAAUGGGUCGUAUAAAAAUGAGUAAUUUAAAAAAUACGGAAAACAUAUUUUUCAUUUUAUAUAAUAAAACUGAUAAUCGAAAUACCAACAUCUAUACUAUACUAUUAAAGCCGAAAGAUUAAAAGUUUGGUCGGUCGGUACUUGGGCCAAAAUACGGGCCUAUCUAUAUAACCAAUUAUUCUGGACCUAUCUAUAUAAUCGUCGGUACUUGGGUCAAAAUACGGGCCUAUCUAUAUAACUAAUUAUUCUUUUUAAUUUGGGCCAAAUUACGGGCCUAUCUAUAUAACCAAUUAACAAUUCUUUUAAAAUCGAAACAAUAAAAGUUUGGUAGGUCAGUACUUGGGCCAAAAUACGGGCCUAUCUAUAUAACCAAUUAUUC
rnacentral:lncRNA from 1 species